ACUUGGGAUAGCUCAGUUGGUAGAGCACGAGAGUCUCGGGGUCGUGAGUUAAAUCCCCAUGUUGGGCA